rnacentral:pre_miRNA from 1 species
AACUUGGAUGUCCUACAUGGCAAUCCAAAUUAAAAUUAUUUAAUUAAAAACUAUUUUCAUCCCAACAACUGGAUAUUGAAAUUGGCAGUUAAAACCAAUUUGGACUGUCACGUAGGACUACCGUUAG